AGUGUCGCAGCUAACGCGUUAAGCAGGGCGCCUGGGGAGUACGGCCGCAAGGCUAAAACUCAAAGGAAUUGACGGGGACCCGCACAAGCAGUGGAGCGCCUGGUUUAAUUCGAUGGUCAGCGAAGAACCUCACCUGGGCUUGAACUGUAGCUGCACACCUUGGGGAAACCAGGGGAGCCUUCGAGGGUGCUACAGAGGUGAUGCAUUGGCUGUCGUCAGCUCGUGUCGUGAGAUGUAGGGUUAAGUCCCGUAACGAGCGCAACUCUUAUCUGAUGUUAUAAUUUCUUCAGAGACUGCCCCGUUUAUAACGGGGAGGAAGGAGGGGAUGACGUUCCAGUCAGCAUGUCCCUUUAUGUCCAGGGCUACACAGACGCUACAAUGGCUAUACCAAUGGGCUGCCAAGCCGCGAGGUGGAGCGUUCCCAUCAAAAAUAGUCUCAGUUCGGAUUGCAGGCUGAAUUCGCAUGCAUGAGUCGGGAUUGCUAGUAUCGCGUAUCAGCAUGGCCGGUGAUACGUUCUCGGGUCU
rnacentral:rRNA from 1 species